rnacentral:lncRNA from 1 species
CAAUUUUGUUCUUUCACAUCAGUUGCGGCCUCUGUUUGAAGUUUGAAUUACGAGCGUUUCCAGCAGCAGUUGCAUCUAACAAGCAAAAAUGGAUGGAUACCUAUUCCUCAUACGUGUGAAUGUGAUUGCUACAAGAUGCAUCUUAAGGCAAGUUCUUCUGGAAAUCUUAACUAUGUUUAUGAGGCCUUUAGCAUUGCUUUUGAAAUAAGUUUUAGAAAAAUAGUUUCUUUGUGCAUACUUGAAUUCCAUAAUAUCAAUUUC